rnacentral:rRNA from 1 species
GUGCCAGCCGCCGCGGUAAGACGGAGGGGGCUAGCGUUGUUCGGAAUGACUGGGCGUAAAGGGCGCGUAGGCGGUUUUUUAAGUGAGGCGUGAAAGCCCUGGGCUUAACCCAGGAGGUGCGUUUCAUACUGGAAGACUUGAGUACGAGAGAGGAAAGUGGAAUUUCUAGUGUAGAGGUGAAAUUCGUAGAUAUUAGAAAGAACACCAGUGGCGAAGGCGGCUUUCUGGCUCGUAACUGACGCUGAGGCGCGAAAGCGUGGGGAGCAAACAGGAUUAGAUACCCUGGUAGUCCACGCUGUAAACGAUGAGUGCUAGACGUUGGGGGGUAACUCUCAGUGUCGCAGCUAACGCAUUAAGCACUCCGCCUGGGGAGUACGGUCGCAAGAUUAAAACUCAAAGGAAUUGACGG